rnacentral:tRNA from 1 species
GCUGUGGCUCAGUGGCAGAGUGCUUGCCUAGAAUGUGUGAGGCACUGGGUUCAAUUCUCAGCACUGCA